UACGUAGGUGGCAAGCGUUGUCCGGAUUUACUGGGCGUAAAGGGCGUGCAGGCGGUCUGUUAAGUCUAGGGUGAAAGCUCCCCGGCUCAACUGGGAGAGGUCCUUGGAUACUGGCGGACUUGAGGGAGGCAGAGGAGUAUGGAAUUCCCGGUGUAGUGGUGAUAUGCGUAGAUAUCGGGAGGAACACCAGUGGCGAAGGCGGUACUCUGGGCCUUACCUGACGCUGAGACGCGAAAGCGUGGGAGCGAACCGG
rnacentral:rRNA from 1 species